AAUCCUCUGUCUGCUCCCCAGCCUCUGCCUUCACCAGCAGAGUAGACCUUGGCCCUUUGUCCUAACAGCCAUGUCUUCAUGGAUUUCUUAGUGGUCAGUGGUUAACUUGAUCCUGCACCCAGGGCACUCACUCAGCUCCUGCUUGUUUCUGGUCCUCCUCAUGUCAAAUGUCCCGGUUUCCAGGACAGCUUCCACAGUGCUGGACACAGUGGGGCACUGGCUGUGUGCAGACUCAGGAUUCACACUCAGGUGA
ensembl:lincRNA Gm11958 predicted gene 11958